rnacentral:rRNA from 1 species
UACGGAGGAUGCAAGCGUUAUCCGGAUUUAUUGGGUUUAAAGGGUGCGCAGGUUGUUUGAUAAGUCAGUGGUGAAAGUCUGUCGCUUAACGGUAGGAUUGCCAUUGAUACUGUUGGACUUGAAUAUGGAUGAGGUAGGCGGAAUGUGUAGUGUAGCGGUGAAAUGCAUAGAUAUUACACAGAACACCGAUUGGAAGGCAGCUUACUAAUCCAUCAUUGAUGCUGAGGCACGAAAGCGUGGGGAUCAAA